GAUGAACGCUGGCGGCGUGCCUAACACAUGCAAGUCGAGCGAUUUACUUCGGUAAAGAGCGGCGGACGGGUGAGUAACGCGUGGGUAACCUGCCCUGUACACAUGGAUAACAUACCGAAAGGUAUGCUAAUACGAGAUAAUAUACUUUUAUCGCAUGGUAGAAGUAUCAAAGCUCCGGCGGUACAGGAUGGACCCGCGUCUGAUUAGCUAGUUGGUAAGGUAACGGCUUACCAAGGCGACGAUCAGUAGCCGACCUGAGAGGGUGAUCGGCCACAUUGGAACUGAGACACGGUCCAAACUCCUACGGGAGGCAGCAGUGGGGAAUAUUGCACAAUGGGCGAAAGCCUGAUGCAGCAACGCCGCGUGAGCGAUGAAGGCCUUCGGGUCGUAAAGCUCUGUCCUCAAGGAAGAUAAUGACGGUACUUGAGGAGGAAGCCCCGGCUAACUACGUGCCAGCAGCCGCGGUAAUACGUAGGGGGCUAGCGUUAUCCGGAAUUACUGGGCGUAAAGGGUGCGUAGGUGGUUUCUUAAGUCAGAGGUGAAAGGCUACGGCUCAACCGUAGUAAGCCUUUGAAACUGGGAAACUUGAGUGCAGGAGAGGAGAGUGGAAUUCCUAGUGUAGCGGUGAAAUGCGUAGAUAUUAGGAGGAACACCAGUUGCGAAGGCGGCUCUCUGGACUGUAACUGACACUGAGGCACGAAAGCGUGGGGAGCAAACAGG
rnacentral:rRNA from 1 species